GUGUGCGUGGCUUAGUGGUUAGCAUGUUCGCCUCAUACCUCCAGGGUUGGGGUUCGAUUUCCCACGUGGCCC